AUAACAGAGUAUUUAGGAGAUUUGUAGGAAAGCUGGAAAUGCAUUAAUCAUAAAUGAGUAAAUUAAUUACGCAUUCCUUCCCCUGUGGGGUCAGCACUGGCACCAGUAGGCCAUCAGUUAUUUAAGGAAUUAGAUACCAAAGAUGCCCUUUAUACAGCCAAUUAUGUGGAAAUAAAUUACUCUUUCAGAUGACAAUAUGCUUUUCUCUCAGAACAUGUGGAGAAGGCUGUCUUUUUGUCUUGGAAUAGUCUGCAUGCCGUUUUCCAUGAUAAUUAAAGCCCUUAAAGCAAAGGUUUCUUCUGGCUCUGGUUCUUUGGAUAGAACAAUGCUGCAUGCCUAGAAAAUG
rnacentral:lncRNA from 1 species